rnacentral:rRNA from 1 species
UGGGGAAUAUUGGACAAUGGGCGCAAGCCUGAUCCAGCCAUGCCGCGUGAGUGAUGAAGGCCCUAGGGUUGUAAAGCUCUUUUGUGCGGGAAGAUAAUGACGGUACCGCAAGAAUAA